rnacentral:rRNA from 1 species
AUUGAACGCUGGCGGCAUGCUUUACACAUGCAAGUCGGACGGCAGCACAGAGAAGCUUGCUUCUUGGGUGGCGAGUGGCGAACGGGUGAGUAAUAUAUCGGAACGUACCGAGUAAUGGGGGAUAACUAAUCGAAAGAUUAGCUAAUACCGCAUAUUCUCUGAGGAGGAAAGCAGGGGACCUUCGGGCCUUGCGUUAUUCGAGCGGCCGAUAUCUGAUUAGCUAGUUGGUGGGGUAAGGCCUACCAAGGCGACGAUCAGUAGCGGGUCUGAGAGGAUGAUCCGCCACACUGGGACUGAGACACGGCCCAGACUCCUACGGGAGGCAGCAGUGGGGAAUUUUGGACAAUGGGCGCAAGCCUGAUCCAGCCAUGCCGCGUGUCUGAAGAAGGCCUUCGGGUUGUAAAGGACUUUUGUCAGGGAAGAAAAGGCUGUUGCUAAUACCGACAGCUGAUGACGGUACCUGAAGAAUAAGCACCGGCUAACUACGUG